rnacentral:rRNA from 1 species
UACAGAGGUCUCAAGCGUUGUUCGGAUUUACUGGGCGUAAAGGGCGCGUAGGCGGCGCAACAAGUCACUUGUGAAAUCUCCGGGCUUAACCCGGAGCGGCCAAGUGAUACUGUCGUGCUAGAGUGCGGAAGGGGCUACUGGAAUUCUCGGUGUAGCGGUGAAAUGCGUAGAUAUCGAGAGGAACACCUGCGGCGAAGGCGGGUAGCUGGGCCGACACUGACGCUGAGGCGCGAAAGCCAGGGGAGCGAACGGG